ensembl:lncRNA
AGCGCUUACCUAGGAAGCGCAAGGCCCUGGGUUCGGUCCCCAGCUCCGAAAAAAAGAACCAAAAAAAAAAAAAAAACUUUUGAUUAAAGUUUCCAGAAAACUGCAUUUGCAAGUGAUAAGUUCAAAAACCCUACCUGGUUAGGGCACACUGCGGCUUUGAGGCAAUUCCUAUAGUGCUCUGCCCCACACAGUGCAGAGGUGGCUGGCGGGCUCUGGGGUACAAGUCAGAGUCAUGCCCCCUUGUGUCCACCAUCCUCUGAUUGGCCACAGGCAAGUCCCCAAGCUCCCUCAGUUUCCUUGGCUGUAGGAUAGGGUGAUAUUAGUUCUUAGCCUGUCAGGUUGCUCUGAAAAUCACUUGAGUAUCGCACAAGGUAAGCCUGUGUAUCACCAGAUGACUAAACUGCCCUAAAUAGGUUGGGUGACCUGCUUAAGAGCAGAUCGGCAAAAGGAGCUGGAACCUGGAGCUGGCGUCCUACCUGAGUGAGGCCACUGCGUCUCCUGUCCAUAAAGGCAAUACGCAAAGAAUUCGCUUGUUUCCAUUGUUUAAAUGGGAACUUUGAGUAAAUGUUAAGUAGAUGGCUGUUUUUGUGCCUGGGUUUUAUUUUGUUUGAAGACGGUGUGCUCUGUACACUUGAAUGGUGUCCACAACAGUGCAAGUGGCAGGAAGACAUGGAGCAGCCUCAGAUCCAGUCACAUUCUGAGUAUUCAGGCUUAGAGCACCCAAGCAAGCACAUCCCUCAAGGACAGCAGGGACCUUCGAAGCUGCCUUGUGCUAGGACAAGCCCAGCCUGUGCUUGGGGAUCCUUGGGUGACUGUUCAACCGUGAGUAUUUUUUUUUUUUGAAGCACACUGAUUCUUGCUUAGAAACAGCAUUCUGUCAAGGGAAGAGUUUCAAAGAACUAUCUUUGCUGGUGUGUGUGUGUGUGUGUGUGUGUGUGUGUGUGUGUGUGUGUGUGUGUAGUACAUUUCACACUUACUAUAACUACAGAAGCAAACAUGACCUACAGACAACCAUGGGAGCUAAGAAUUAGAUUUAUUUUUUAUUUUUAUAGCAUAUGCAGCAUAAAAAUGAAGUUUUGUUAUCUUAGAUCAGUAUACUGGAGCACAAAAAUGAAAGAUGCACAUUGAGGAAGUAUUUGUGUGUUUAUGUGCAGAAAGACUUGUGAUUCCUGGUGCUUUGUUUUCCCACCAGUGCUAGCAAAUAAGCUUCAGAAGAGAUCAAAGAAAGUGCGUCGUACCUGUGUAGAAGCAGAGGCGUAGAGAAGAUAGCCCUGGCAUUGCAUAUGCUGCUCUCUGUGUUAGCUAUGCUGUCUGCCUCCUCCUGAUCACUUUUCCAGACCACAUCCUUAAUUAGUGUAAAGGGUGCUUGGUGGGUGAUUGCUAUGGGUGUUCUUACUCUCCCACUGAGGGCGGAGUAGAGGGUAUAGCCUAUCGUGUUAUGUCUAUUUACUGAGUAUACUAAGUUAUGUCCUAAUGCUUCAGAGUUAGAGUUAUCAAUCUGUUCUAGAUUCUAGCCCUCCAUGCCCCUCCCCCGAGAUGCUGGCAGACGCCAUGAAUCCUUUAAGCACACCAUUACACAUUGGCUUGCAUAUGGAGACCUCCACAGAAAUGGAGAAGCCUCUCCAGAUGCCCUAGGCAUAGGACCCUGGACUCUGGGGGCCUUAUCCUACUGAGCAGUUAGAGUUCCCAAAGAACUGCUGUUGAAAGCAGGAAAUACCCAGGGCAGAAGUCACUCUCUGUGGCUGCUGGGUGGGGAUACAGAGCCAGAGAAAAGACAAAAGGGUGGAGAACACAUGACUAAGUAAAUAGUGGAGAGUGGUUGAUAACAUCAGGACCGUCACAUGAGGAGCCCAGAAUCCCUGUCUGGUUACCCAGGCACACAUCUGUAAAAGAGUAUGGGUUUAGGAGAGAUCUAAGGACUCGUCAUAAACCACUUUGGCUAGUUUUUCUCAACCCAGGUUUUCCUCAUUUUUUACUCCAUAAAAUUUAGUGUCUGUCUGUCUGCCUUUCUCCCUUCCUCCCUCCCCCCCUCUCUCCCUCGCUCGUGUGCUCUCUUUAUUUCGUUUGUGUUUCCUUUGUGUAUGCCACCAAAUCAGGUAGGGUCACCUGAACUUGAAGGAGUAAUUCAUAACAAAUUGGAGAGAUGGUUUUUGACCUGGAAGAAAUGUGGUACGGCUGAGUAUGUGAGGAGGUUGUUGAAUACAAAAGGAACAGUGUCUGAAAAAAAAAAAUACAUAGCCCUUAUUGCUCAUAAGCUAUAUUGAAACCAGUACCGUGGGGCCACUGUGGAACAAGACGACACAAAUGUGUUAGGAGGAGUGUGCCACAGAGGUUAAGAGGAGCAGAGGACAUUAGCCAGACUCGGUGCACUCACUUUGAGUCACAUUCGAAGAAAGAUGUUCAGCGAUUGGGAAGCGCUGGUGCACAAUCAACAGAAAUUACAAACCCUUCUAGGAAAAGAUGAAGGGACUGAAGGGUUUAGUCUGACGUGGGCAGGGAAGGGCUUGCUGCUGACAGUCCUAUGUAGUAACUGCUUGGUUUCCCUUGUCUCCUUGGAUCUCCAUGCUGCCCACUCGGUCUUCUCUGCAGCACGAUGUCAUGAUACAGGGAUAAUCAGUACAUUUUCUGGCCGUGAUAAAUAGUUCAGAAAGGGGAUAAAAUACUUAAGCCUAGGCAUGUGAUGAAAUCUCUGGUGAUAACUUUCUAAAGAUGAAAGUAGGUAGCUAUUUUGAGUAUUAGAACGUUUCUGUCUUCAACACAUAGGGCCUACUGUGAUAGGCAGGUACAAAGGGAGAUAACGGUGCUUGAUUACACUAUUGUGGGGACAUAAAGCAUUAUGUGGUAGGUGCCUGUGGCAUUCAGCCACCUCCCCAUGUGGCUUCCUGAUGGAGUCGAAGUCCAGACUGCAUCCUAAAGAGCAGCCAUUGAGGUUAGCACGAUGAAGGAGUUAGUAGUGAGCCAAGGACUAGGGUGCCACAGGAGGUGGCCUAGAGAUCCCCACGAGUGGUCUGGUGAGGUGUAUGACUUGGGAAGAUGAGCAGGCAUCAGGUAAGAGGACUUGGUUGGGGGACAGGUUGGGCGAGGUAAGGAGGCUCCUGACUCAGCAGAGCUGUUAAGCAUAUUUGAAGGUAGGGAAUUCCAGAGAGAGGAGUGAACUGGCAGAUAAGGCAGUCAGCAUAAUGGCUUAGAUACCAUGUGCUAUCGCUCACUAUGCACCCAUGACACAAGAUCACAGAAGUACAGGCCUGGACCAUGGCAGAGUAUACACUGGUUGGGUAAAUGAAGAGGAGAGACAGAGUGGGAAGUCGGCUUAGUGGAUAUGGACUUCAAAUUUGAUGAACAAGCAAUUCAAAUGAGUAUCGUGGGCUUGACUGGUAUGAAGACCCGUUUGCAAAGCAGUGGUCAUAAGAGAGAAAAGAGAGAGAGAGAGAGAGAGAGAGAGAGAGAGAGAGAGAGAGAGAGAGAGAAAGAGAGAGAGAGAGUGUUGUUGUUGUUGUUGUUGUUGUUGUUUAUUGGUUUAUAACAAGAUCUACCUUUGGUAACUUUCACUGGCCUUAAACUCACUAUGUAGCUGGUCUGGAACUCAGAACCCUGCCCCACCCUCCUGAAUGUUGGGAGUAUAGGUGUGCACCAUACCUGGUCUUUGUGUUUUAAAUUUGAUUCAAAGUCAUCAGUAGUAAAAAUUUCCAUUGUGUAUGCUCAAGGUAUGUGAUAUGACAUUUUGAUCAAAUGAUAAUUGCUUAUAGUAAAACCAGUUAUAUACAGAUCUCACAUGGUUACACUCACAUAUAUAAAAGCACCGAAAUUCCCCUAUCAGUAUCAUCUGCUGUUAUGCACGAUUCCCAUCGAUUUGUCUCAAAUAACAACUUUAUAUCCUCUAACCAGUAUUUCCUGAUCACUCUUGCCACCUUCUGUCAUUUUUCUAUAUGCUUGACUCUUUUUUAAUUCCACAUAUGAAAAGGUGAAAUUAUCUUCAAUUCCCAAUGAUGUGUUGAUAUUAAUAAUGUCUUAUAAUUAACCCCACCUACUAAUGCGUGUGUGCAUCUUUUCCCGUAGCGACCUCCUCGAACGAUUUGCAAGAGCUCUAUUGACUCUUGGCAAAGCUCACUUUUUAAAUGAGCGUUUUCUCUAUAUACAUAAAACAUGCCUUAAAGCAUCUUUGGAGGUUCAUAUAUAUAUAUAUAUAUAUAUAUAUAUAUAUAUAUAUAUAUAUAUAUAUAUAUAUAUACAUACAUACAUAUACAUAUACACAUACAUAUACAUAUACAUAUGCAUAUGCAUAUGCAUUCAGAUGGGUUUUUCUUAAUUGUAAAUCCCCUGGCAUUGUGUGCUGAGUCAUCUGUAUCUCCCAGGUACUUUGUGGUGUUCCCGUUACUUUCUGUUCUGCACUGCACCCUACAGCAGGACUCCAUGAGGUGCUUGGAUCUCAGCACUUGAGUGGAGUGUGUGGUCACAGUUCUUAUUAUAAAAAGUCUCAGGCCUGCUGCAGCAGUGAGCCCCUUCUGCUCAACAGCUGCCUUCCAGAAUUAAUACUUUACCACUCUUUUAUUAAAACCACGUUUUUAUUGAUGUAAUACUUUCUGAACCACCAUUUGGAUUCCAAAGAAGAGUUUUAAAGAAGUUCUCUCUAAUCCUUGUUUUUGUUUUGUUUUAAUUUGCAGAUCUGGUUUUGAGGACUCUUGGGAAUUUAUAUUAUUAGUACUGUAGACAGUGAACAGCACAGUCUGUAUCAAGGAGAACUAUUUUCCAACAUUUUUCUGUGGUCUGACUUGGUGGCCUGACUUCCAGGGGUUAUGAGGUGGUGAAUUUAUUUCUUUAGCACAGUUCCCUGUUCAGAGUGCCCUCCCCUAACAGCAGUCGUCUUGCCUUCAUGGCAGGGUUUAAGAAUGGUCGCAGGCCUGCCGUAGGGGUGGUGAGAUGCUCUAGCAGCUGGGACGGCAGGUUGGACCUAGGCAAAAGUAGCUGCCUGUGCCACAGCGCUGACUGGAAAGCCGACAGCUCUUGCGGGUUGGUUCACUGAGUGGCUGAAUGUCGUUGUGUAAAGGAGCCCUUUACAGGGAAGCUGAUUGCCCAGGAGAGCUCACCACUCCAGAUACGUCCUCCCAGAGGGCUCGUGUUGAGGAGCCCCAAUUCACAGAAAGUGCAAGACCUCAAAGACCUGAGGUGGAGGAGCUCCAGUCCUUCUGUCCAGGCUGAGAGCCAUCCCCCAUAGAUUCCCAGGAGAUCAUGGGCCUGGUAGGACCACAGCCUGAAGAUAACUUUGCAGCGGUAGCAGCCAUCUGACCUGCUUCUGCCUAAGUGCAGAUACAGCAGCCAGCCAAAGGGAAAAUUCACAACCCCCCUCGAAAGACUCACAGUGUGCCCUACUAUGUUUUCCCGAGCUAGCUUUGGAGUUGGGAUUUCGAAGCUGUCGGGUAGCCUCCGUCCGUGGAACAGGGGCAGGGGGCAGGAGGUCCAGUAGGUGAAGUGGGUGGCCUCUCUGGAGCCAUGCAGAGGAGGUGACUCCCUCCUUACUAACCACCAUCCUGCCUUGACCCCCACCAGUCACACACUAUGAUCCAAUGUCACCUCAGUUCUAAGCCCCCUGCUUCCCGGCAGAGGGGACAGUUCUGUAUUAGAAGCCUGGCCAACAAAUUCCUUCAGACACAAGAAUAUCUAGAGAACUUAUAUUAAGGAAAAAUUAAGGCUCUAGCAAGUUGAGCGUUGAGCUAUGAGGCAUUCUGUUUGAGGGAGUGCAUGGUUUCCGGGGGCAAAGUGCUGUUCCUCGGGCUAAUGUCCACCCACAGCAUUUUCAUCCUCCCAAGCCUUUUCUCUACCUCAUCCCCUUGUCCACCCCUGCUUCAAGACGACGGCCCAGGACAGCAUGCAGCUCUGCAGAGAACCAGAGACUAAAUAAGGAUUCUUGAAAUUAGCCAGGAACAAGGGAUGGGAGAGGCACAACAGUUCUCUGGCAUCCUUUUUUCCUUAGUGUUAAAAUGUAGGACGGAUGCAGACUCCCCUCCUUCCACCACUCAUCCCCACGGUAUGCACAGACCAUGUGAAUCACCUUCUAAAUCCACAGCCAGGGAGUUAGCUCCAAGGUUAGGUCCGCAGGAAAUGGGACGGAUGAGGUCAGAAGCCCUGCAGAGGGAACAUGAGCUACUCAGCACGGGAACCCUAGGCAGCGUCUCCAGAGUGCAGCUUUUUGGGCGAGUCAUACCUCUGUGGAUGGGACUUCUAUCUCCCAAAUGUUACCUUGCAAAGUAUUAAAAACUACUAACCAUUUAGAUGAAACGUAAAGUUCGGAUGUAUUCAUAGACCCUGGGAUUAGAUAACAGGUUAAUGAGGCAACAAGACUCCUGUUUGCAGCCAAGUGUGCUCAGCACACACAUCAUUCUAGCACUUUGGUAUCUGAGGCAGGGGUGUAGAGAGUUCAAGGCCAGCCUGGGCUAGAUAAUGAGUUGGAGACACAGCUGCACCGUCUCGAAAUGAAGCAAAGCUGUGCAGGGAGAACAUAAAUUAUUUGUGUUUGUAUAACUAUACAAGCUUUAUCUUGGAAACUUGGUGCUGAGGUGGAAACUACAGUUGGGUAUUUUGUGCUACUACCUGUGGGACGCUUAAAGGUGCUUUUCAGCAUGUUGGACAAGCCAUGGAUAUUUCCCAGUGUGGCAUUUUUAAGUUUUUAUUUAACUGAGAGUUAACGCCCACGUGCCAAGCUGUCAACUCACCCGUAAUCUUCCACGUGCUCCUCAUGACUAACCCAAGCCCCAGGUCACUGUGGGUACAUUUCCUAUGGUCUCAGUGUUCUGGGGUCAGAGCAAACCAGGAAAGCUCAUGUUCCUCAUUCCUAUAAACUGCCCACAACACAGAGCCUCACUGAACAUAGGUAGAAGAGGCUGCUAUCAGCAACACACAUGGAGACGUGCACCACAGGCCAGGCACCGUGCUGGGUCCCGGCGUGGCACAAGACCUCUGCAGUACUCAGCGCACACAGAGAAACCUGAGGGUUGAUCAUUUUCUUGGGAAUCACAUACCCAACGAUGCAGGGACCACGAUUCAAAAUUAGACACCCAGCUUUGAAUUUGUAUCCUAUGUGGUUUCCUGACUCAUACUUUAGAUUUUAUCUGUGGGACCAUUAUUCAGUUGGAUGCAGUCACGUCUCUUCGGUACAUUACGGAAGAAUGCCCUCAUCCAGCUGAAUGUUUUCAUGGUAUUCCGUGUUCUAGGUCACCCUGUGACAGCUUAUUAGUGAAGAAUACACUCUGCCCUCCUGCCUCUUAAGAGAGCGCUGUGCUCAUAAGAGAUGCUUUCAACUAGGGCACUUCACAAAGCGGCUGCCUCCGCCACCAAGACGGUAAGGAAAGCGGUGUGGUUCAUGAGUCACUGCUUCCCUUUUCAUGACUACAAACCAAUGAUCGCUCACCACCCUUGUGCCUUCAAGGAAGGUCAGCUCACACAAUUCAAAUGUAGCAUUAAAACCCAGAAUCCAGCUGUCUUACAUACGAUCAUUGCCUGUUAAACUGUGAUUCCUCCGUCAAGGGAGAACUUGACUUCCCAUGUAUACUGGUCCCCCUCUCCCCGCUUAGUGAAUGAAGGAAGCAGGGAGAAGCUGAAGUUUUCCCCUCUCUGCCACCUCAGUGAAACACUCGCCCCUCCUGGGUGCUCCAGUGUGCGUUGCAGCUUACCAGUGUUUGUCUUUCCUGACUCAGGUUCCUCUUAGGAACUGUGAAGAUGGUGUGAUCUCGGGGUGAAUACAUGGCUUUGAAUGAGAGGCAGAAAUGAGGGCCGUGUGACGUGUUCACACACAUUUUGUCGGUCUCCUAGCAGCUUCAAUGGCUCUCUCUGUUCCCACCUCACUGAUGAGCAGACACCAGCCUGCCCCAUGUUGACGUGUGAUGAUGAGUGACCCAGCCAAGACCUCAACGUUUUAGGGUCUACAAGCCUUGGACACUAUUCCCUGGUUUUCUGUAGUUCCUUAGCAGAUGUAGAAACUGUUCUCACAGCCUUUUACGAAAGCCAAGGGUUGUUCUUGUCCUAAGCAGCUGGACCCAGAAAAUGGGUAGAUUUAGGUUUUUUCCUUUCUGCUCUUCAGCCCCAUUAGCAGCCUCUUGGCCCCAUCCAUGCACUCUUUCAGUUAAAGUCUUAGACUGACAAGUGCUAGAACCCCGCCAAGUCACAAGACGUUGACAUUGAGUCUUGUGUGUGUAGAGCAUGCUGGCUGCUUCCCUUCAUUGUAGAGAUUUGGGAAAGUAAGAGCUGUGGGGUUUGGGUAAAAUGCCUGAGCAAAUUGAAUGUGAAAACAUGGUUGUGUCGGUGAGAACUGAGCAAGGCAGGAGGUGUGUGUACCUGGGCAAUGAGGAAGUAAGCGAGAGAAUGUGCGUAGGCGGCCCGUGUGCUUGGCACAAAAGAGGCCUUAGAGAGCUUGCUGGCUGGGACGGGCUGUGUAAUUAAAACAGUUGAACAGAUCUUAUUAACAGCAGGGUGGUGUUCUCUGAAGGCCUACAGGGGAAUGCAGAGAGAGUAAGAGAGCUGGAAAUGUCUUUGGACACAAGGAUUUUCACAAACAGGUAGGCUGAAGAGCAUAGAGUCCAGGCAACAGUUCAUAAAUUUAAAAAUGUGACUUUCUUUUAUACAGUACUGGUCAAAGGAGGGAUUCUAAAUUUCGCAGACUAAUGGAUGUUACCCCACUGUAGAACACAGGACCAACGUUAAUCUGUUAUUUUCAAUAAUUGUGGCACUGGCCUUUUAUGUUUGGCUCUCUGGCGAGACCUCCCACCGUUUAUCCCUCUGCUGUUGGGGAGGAAAAAGUUAGGGAGAGGAAGACGCAAUCAGAGAUCCCUUCUCAGAGGUGUUUGAAGGUUUGAGGCCUUCAGCUCGGGACAGCUAAGGCAGGCUGACAUAUUUGUCCUGCACUCACUGACCAUGUGCCCAUGACAGUCCCUGGUGAGCACUGAGCUCAGGGUGAUCAAUGAAGUGACAGGGAAAUAAGGGUGACCUCUUUUAUGGUGGAACUGAGUGGCCCCAGAGCACUGUCCAAUGUCUGCUAAGAGAAAGACAUGCCACUGAACGGGUCUCUAGGAAGUGAUUUCGGCAACAGAGCCAAGGGAUGAAAAGGAAUAUAGAGUGAUGGGGGAGUUAGGAAUGAGGGCUCCAGGCAGAAAGGAGAACCAACCGUUUGUUGGGCCUGUAGAGGAGGCCCUUGAAUAGUGGUUCCCAACUUUCUGAAUCCUGUGACCCCCUUAGUCCAGUUCGUUGUGCCAUGUGACCCCUAAUCAUGAAUUAUUUUCCUUGCUACGUAGCAGCUGCAGUUUUGCCGCCAUUGGAGUCCUAAGUAAGUGUCUGAUACACAGAUGGUCUUAGGCCAGCCUGUGAAACAGUCAUUCACCCCUCCCAUGGAGGAGUCACAGCCGACAGGUUGAGAACCACUGCCCUAGAGUGCGGGGCGAGUUCAGCAUUAGAGGGUCACCAUGAAGGCAGUACAAAGGGCGCCUCCAUUUCAGAAGCCUCUUGGAAUCUCUGGAUACGCCCCUGGGAAGUUUCCAGACGCUUAGGAGCACCCCACCCUAAGCCACUGCUUGCCACUUCCUGUUCCUAUGGUUGUCCCUUGGUGAGGGGAAUAAACAAAGGCUGGGAAAGCACUUGACAGGGGAUCUGAAGCCAGCCCCUUUCAGGUGCCCCUGAGGGUGACAGUGGCUACCCUGCUAUGAGAGGACACAGCUGCUUCUACUGCGGCUCACAGGGCCAGGGCGAUGAGACCAGAGAAGGGGCACUGUGACAGACAGACAAGGUGGUUGGGUGGUUAACUCUAAAAAGAGAAGCCCACAAAGCUGGACUGCAGCCUUCAAGGGAGUGGGGUGCACAGAUUCCCACAGUCCAACCUCAGGAAGGUUGAGACCUCUGGUCAAAGGGGGGACAGUCCUGCACCCCCUUACUUGCAGACCCCACGAGCACCCCAUUUACUAUUGUACCUCCAGUUUCCACUUCCCGUUCUGUUUAUUUGAAGUGCACUGCCUCGGCUUGGGAAGAAGUGAACUUAGACCUUGGAGCCUUGUUGGGGUGGGAGCUAAAAGGAAGUCCUGUGGAGCCCAAAAGUGUUGUGUCAACACUGGUUCUGAGCGUCUAAUCUUUUACUACCUGUAGGGACAGGUGGAUGGAGUUGUUGCUGGCAGGGAAGGCCAGAUUCUUUCAAGGUUACGAUUGUGCAAUAGCGAAUGCCUUUUGAAGCUGGGGGUGGGGGUGGUCAGAGCAGCAGCUCUCACGGCAGUGGGUCAGAGCAGCUCACAGCGCUCUUAUACAUGGGAGCUUAUUCACUGGACUAUCCCAGGUGAUUUCUGCGCAGCACAGAGCAUAGAGCACGUAAAGCUGGGUCUCCAGAGAGCAGCCAUUACUCUUAGGCUAAGCAUUUCUCUUCAGUGAGGAACCCCAACACCUUCUCUUUAGAGUUUUCCUGAGGUGCUAGUCUAAAGCACUUGCUUUAACAGCUCUUUUUAAACAGUGCCUUUGUUUAAAUAUCCAACGGGAAAGAUGAGAGUAAUUUUUCUCCAUCCAAUAAGAAGGGGCAGUAAGUGGCCCUCCACCAGGUUGCAACGGCAAGGCUGUGCUGAGCUUGCGUCUGGGACUGCAACCAGACAAGGGGAAGUUUGAGAAGUUGGAGGUAUUUUUAGCUGAUCAGGCCUGCUGUGAAACUGAUCCCUCCCAUAGUUCCAAUGGGCGUGCUUUUCACUCUGAAUGUGUUACCUACCGAUUCAGACACCCAUGAAGAGGGUAUGCGUUGUUCAAGGGUGAUUGAGAAGCAACUUUCAAACCCACAUGUGCGGGCAUGGUGUCCUGCAUCCCUCCAUUCUGCCAAGUGUGUGGUGUGACCAGAAACCCUAUUGCAGAGCUAUGGUUUACUCCAAAAACUCUCCAAGGUGGAGGACUCCUGUUUCAAAACCAUUGGUGCCUUCCCAUUCAUUCCUCUGUCUGCUUUGAGGCCCUGCUGGGGGAAUGGUGGACCUGCUCAAUACCUAAGCAACAAGGAGUUAACUCUAACGUUCUACGCAUAAAGUACAACUCCUUAGGUGGUCGGGCAGGACCCUCCCUGGAACCUCUGGGCAGUCUCUAAGGUCACUUUCGAUGGUGAGAGGACUCUUGCAAGUAACCAGAAAAGCAUAAAUUCCCACCUGAGGUUUUACUACCCUUUUUUAUUUGCAUGGUAGCUAGCCCUGCCGGCCACCCCAGCCUGUGGUACUGUGGAGUAGCGCUAGAAGAGGAUCAGGAAGCUCUAAGCCCUGCCUCUUCCCCAACUGUCCACCUCUCCCCACAUGUGGAAUCCACAGCCCCACUGCUUCCAGACUAAGCUUUGAGCACACUGGAGUCGUACGUACAUUAUCUUCUUGUUCCCCCUCUGUGAAGUGCUAGAAGCCCUCCUCCCAGGUGGUUGUGCACUUGGGUGUGUGUGUGUGUGUGUGUGUGUGUGUGUGUGUGUGUGUGUG